UACAGAGGGGGCAAGCGUUGUUCGGAAUUACUGGGCGUAAAGCGCGUGUAGGCGGCAGCGUGUGUCGGGCGUGAAAUCCCACGGCUUAACCGUGGAAGUGCACCCGAAACUGCGCAGCUAGAGUCCUGGAGAGGAAGAUGGAAUACUUGGUGUAGAGGUGAAAUUCGUAGAUAUCAAGUGGAACACCGGUGGCGAAGGCGGUCUUCUGGACAGUGACUGACGCUGAGACGCGAAAGCGUGGGGAGCAAACAGG
rnacentral:rRNA from 1 species